rnacentral:rRNA from 1 species
AAAUUGAAGAGUUUGAUCAUGGCUCAGAUUGAACGCUGGCGGCAGGCCUAACACAUGCAAGUCGAACGGUAACAGGAAGAAGCUUGCUUCUUUGCUGACGAGUGGCGGACGGGUGAGUAAUGUCUGGGAAACUGCCUGAUGGAGGGGGAUAACUACUGGAAACGGUAGCUAAUACCGCAUAACGUCGCAAGACCAAAGAGGGGGACCUUCGGGCCUCUUGCCAUCGGAUGUGCCCAGAUGGGAUUAGCUAGUAGGUGGGGUAACGGCUCACCUAGGCGACGAUCCCUAGCUGGUCUGAGAGGAUGACCAGCCACACUGGAACUGAGACACGGUCCAGACUCCUACGGGAGGCAGCAGUGGGGAAUAUUGCACAAUGGGCGCAAGCCUGAUGCAGCCAUGCCGCGUGUAUGAAGAAGGCCUUCGGGUUGUAAAGUACUUUCAGCGGGGAGGAAGGGAGUAAAGUUAAUACCUUUGCUCAUUGACGUUACCCGCAGAAGAAGCACCGGCUAACUCCGUGCCAGCAGCCGCGGUAAUACGGAGGGUGCAAGCGUUAAUCGGAAUUACUGGGCGUAAAGCGCACGCAGGCGGUUUGUUAAGUCAGAUGUGAAAUCCCCGGGCUCAACCUGGGAACUGCAUCUGAUACUGGCAAGCUUGAGUCUCGUAGAGGGGGGUAGAAUUCCAGGUGUAGCGGUGAAAUGCGUAGAGAUCUGGAGGAAUACCGGUGGCGAAGGCGGCCCCCUGGACGAAGACUGACGCUCAGGUGCGAAAGCGUGGGGAGCAAACAGGAUUAGAUACCCUGGUAGUCCACGCCGUAAACGAUGUCGACUUGGAGGUUGUGCCCUUGAGGCGUGGCUUCCGGAGCUAACGCGUUAAGUCGACCGCCUGGGGGAGUACGGCCGCAAGGUUAAAACUCAAAUGAAUUGACGGGGGCCCGCACAAGCGGUGGAGCAUGUGGUUUAAUUCGAUGCAACGCGAAGAACCUUACCUGGUCUUGACAUCCACGGAAGUUUUCAGAGAUGAGAAUGUGCCUUCGGGAACCGUGAGACAGGUGCUGCAUGGCUGUCGUCAGCUCGUGUUGUGAAAUGUUGGGUUAAGUCCCGCAACGAGCGCAACCCUUAUCCUUUGUUGCCAGCGGUCCGGCCGGGAACUCAAAGGAGACUGCCAGUGAUAAACUGGAGGAAGGUGGGGAUGACGUCAAGUCAUCAUGGCCCUUACGACCAGGGCUACACACGUGCUACAAUGGCGCAUACAAAGAGAAGCGACCUCGCGAGAGCAAGCGGACCUCAUAAAGUGCGUCGUAGUCCGGAUUGGAGUCUGCAACUCGACUCCAUGAAGUCGGAAUCGCUAGUAAUCGUGGAUCAGAAUGCCACGGUGAAUACGUUCCCGGGCCUUGUACACACCGCCCGUCACACCAUGGGAGUGGGUUGCAAAAGAAGUAGGUAGCUUAACCUUCGGGAGGGCGCUUACCACUUUGUGAUUCAUGACUGGGGUGAAGUCGUAACAAGGUAACCGUAGGGGAACCUGCGGUUGGAUCACCUCCUUACCUUAAAGAAGC